GGGGGCGACAUGGCUUCGACGUGGGUAGCAAAACCUUAAGUGCAUGCCGAGGACAGUACACCUCGUAAAAUCUACUGAAACUAAAGUAUUCGCAAAUGACGAAAACUACUCAAUGGCUUUAGCUGCUUAAACACAGCACCAUUCCUUUGACCAUCUGUGCUUAUGCGGGUGGAGUUUUU
rnacentral:tmRNA from 1 species